AAAAUGCUUUUGGGUCAGAUACUUAGAAGGAGGCUGACGGUUCUCAGAAAGAUUUAAUGUUGCAUAGCCUUUGAUCCAUUUGGGGGCCGAAUUAUUUUAGUGCUCUUCUCAAAGCUGAACCCCAGUAAAUAGUAAUGCAGUGCAAUUUAAUUUUCCUCAAAACUAGAAUGGCAUAGGAGUGCAAGACAUUUUGAGGAGGGUUCCCCCCCCCUUUGGAAUCGCCUCGUGUAGUUUUACACCCCGUCCUUUGACUGUAGACAGUACUUUUCUGCUUCCUCACGGUGAUUUUCCUACCAAAUAAUAUUCAUCUAUCCAUUAUAUAACCAUCCGUCAUUUUUUAAAAGUUACAAAACGGUAUAAAGAACUUAUCUUGAAAGGAUUUCUGAUGAAUUUUUUGAUGUGUCCUCAAAGUGAGAAACAUCAAAAUUGGAGCAAAGAAAACAUCCAUAUUGAGCAAAUAUUAUGUGUUUUUUUUUUUAAACACAUUCAUUAGCCUACAUUGUUUCCAGUGUGGAUCUUCAGUGGCCUGUAAUAAAAACACCUGGAAAUGAUUAACAUAAAAAGACACUGAAAGGCUAGCAGGAAAUUAGGCUUGCCCACCAUGUGCAUGGCCCUAGAUUCAAUCCCCAGCUCCACAAAAUUAAAUAUGUAAAUAAAGGAUCAAAAAUUGGAGAAAGAGGACAGUUUUGCCCCAAGGUGUUUGUGUGUGUGUGUGUGUGUGUGUGCGUGCGUGUGUGCGCUGUACUGAGCCUCCAGCCUAGGGCCUCAUCAGUGUCAGGCCAGCACUUGACCACUGAACUACAUCCUCAGCCCGUUGCCCUAAGUUCAUAACAAAAUUCUUGAGAGUUUUGCACUAAGUUCUUAAAUGAGGCAAAGAAUUAAGAUCUGCUGUACUAGUAGCCAAAUCCAAAACUAAAAUAUGGAGACCACUAUAAUUAUUAUUCUGUAAUAGGAAGUGUUCCACUUGCUCAGGAGAGGGACCAUUUCCCCCUAAUUCCCAGGAGAAUUUAUCACUUGGGUCUUUAUAUAAAAAGGAUUGAGCAAUAUAGCAAAUAAUUUUCUCUAUGGUAAUUAUUAAAAAUGUAUAGUUACAUGUGGCUAUUUUACUGCUCUAUAAAAAAAAUGCUGAAGGUAUAAUAUGGUAAUUUGGUAACAGUUACUCUGUAGUUGAUAAGGACAGUUAGCUGAUUUGACAUUAGGCUUUGAGUUGAGAAUCCCUAGAAAUUGUUAACAUAUAGUAGAGCAUUUCUUUUGAAUAACAGUAGUUGCCUAAAGGCCCUUGACAGUUAUCUGUGUGAUAGAGAUCUUUUAAAAUCCUUGUAGAGAUUUACUAGAUAUCCAGUGAAGCCCAUCAACAAAAGCCUCAUCAAAAGGCAGAAGUGUCACAAUGCAUUAUUUACAGGAGUUAUGUUUUCCUGCUUCCUGGACUUGUUGCCUUCAGACAGGGCAUAAUUCAUUCAGUAAAAGGUCAUUCUUUCAAAGUACUAAUCUUCAAGGCUGUGGUAGCCAGGCAAAAGAGAGAGACCUAGAUUCAGCUGCAAAACAGUGACUGGGGGCAAGUAAAUUGUCACUACUCUCUCCAGAUGGCAUCACUCAAGUCUCUGGGUGGGAGCCUUCUGAAUGCAAACCUAAUAAAAGUAUAAAGAACAUUCUUGAGAAUGGAAGAGAAAGUGUGUGGAAGAAGACUGGUGAGAUAUAAAGGAGGGGUAUUCUUAUUACACUGGAAAUAGAUGAGGAAUGACAGCAGGCAUUCAGAGGAGGAGAAAUUGAAAAUGAAGGGUGGAGAAAGAAUGAACUGCCUUUAAAAAGGACCAAGAGGCUGGGGGAUGGAACUCAGUGGUAGAUUAUGUGCUUAGCAUGCCCAAGGCCCAGGGUUUGAUCCCCAGCACCAAAAAAAAAAAAAAAGAGGUUUAAGAAAGAUGUCAUGACUAGGAAUUUUUGAGAUAGACCGCCCCCAUUGCCAAGAAGGACUGCUCUCCCAAAAUACAUUUGUGAAACUUUAAGGCUAUAACCCUGUUGUUUUUUUAUAAUCUCAGUCUUUGGAGCAGUGGUUCUUAGCUGGAGUUGAUUUUGCCCCCAGGUGACAUCUGGCAAUGUGAAGAGACUUUGUUGUCACACUGAGAGACAAGAAGGCUGCUAAACAUUCUGCAAUGUACAGGCAUUAUUGUGCACCCCACAACAACAACAAAAAACUGGUCCAAAACCUCAAAAGCGCUAAGAAACGAUUUUAGAGUGACUAGUGUCUUGUGUUUCUGGCUAAUGGUUUUCUAAGUUUAUAUGUAUCAGAAUAACAUGGAGUUUUUAGAAGUACAACCCACAAAAUCAGAACGUCUGGAUAAAAUGAGGCCCAGUCAUUUGAUACUGUUGAAAGCUUCAAAGGAGACUCAGGUGCUACAUGCAUGAUGGAGAGAGACAGAUUUGGAAAGAUAAAUGGAGGCCUGCAUUUUCAAUAUUUUAACUUAGAAUAAUGAGUAAAAUAGAGAUUGCUUUGAGUUGUUUGAAAAGUGUCAUGCAUAUGCUGAGUCCCAAUAGUUUAUAACAGCGUUACUAUAUAUUCCACUGUUAUUUUUUGUUUUGAAAUUCCAACUGCUUAUUUUUUAGCACUUAGAUUUCAUAAUAUAGUAUUACAUCAUUAAAUUGUACCCUUCAAAUUUACGUUAAAAUAUCCCAGGACUAUGAGCUAAUACUUUAACAUGAAAGUCCUCCUUACUUGGAGGAUCUAAGGAAGAUCUAAUAAAAUUCUGUUUUAACUCCUAGUGUUAGACUUUGCUCAGAAAGAAAAAAGAAGGAAAAAAAAAAAAAACCUGGUUGUCCUUGAAUAAUGGUGGAGGGAUCAGGAAAAUGCAUGAAUUUGAGUUGGCUCAGCCAUAAUAGAACAGAAAUUUACAUUUCCAGAACCUCUUUUAUCCAGGUAUCACAGAGUUCUUAAAACGUCUCUCUCUCUCUCUCUCUCUCUUUUUUUUUUUUUUUUUUUCAGUAAAAGCUCUGAGAGGUGUAGGCUGGUUAUCUCUUUUCCAAUGGAAGAACUGAAACUAGAACAAUAAACUAAUUAGCCUAGUCUGAUCUGGCAAGAGCAACACUCCAUAUUGUAAUUGUUGAAACAAUUCCUUUCCAUGAACAAACUUGUAGAACAAUUCUAGGUUUUAGAAUUGCUUGUAACUGGGCACGGGUGGCCCAUGCAUGUAAUCCCAGUUGCUCAGGAGACUGAGGUAGGAGGAUUUCCAGUUCAAAGCCAGCCUCAGGAAAAGCCAGGUGUCUUCUAAAUAAAAUACAAAAUGGGGCUGGGGGUGUGGCUUAGUGAUCGAGAGCCCCUGAGUUCAAUCUCUGGUACCAAUAAAAAAGCUUGUUAUGAGUUAGUAAUUCCAGAAGAAACAUGCCUUUUCUGAUUUUAGAUUUUUCAAAGCUGAAGUGACAUAAAAGAAGUUGGUAGCUGUUAGCUUAUGUGUGCUGAAACAUAUGAAACUCCAGUUUGCAUCUCUAAGGUUAAAACAGUCCCAGGCCCCCAAGACAGUGAAGUGUUUUGGCCUGUGGCAAGGGUUCCUGGCAUUGCACAUAGGUUCCUCACAUUCCUGGCUCUAUCACUCUUUUUUUACACAGUCUUUCACUCUUAGCUUCAGUUUCCUCUCAGUGUAAUGAAUAAUAACAAAUUCUCAGGUUUUGCAAACUUAUUUUUAAAGGCAUGUGAACUAGUAAAUACCAACUAUUAAAUUUUAAGGACACUCACAAAUUCUUAGGAGGGGUAACAUUGUACUCUAGUGACCUUUUCUUAGUGAUUUGCACUAUUGUGGUUUAAGUUUUAAUUUAAUUCUUAGUGCUUAGAGUGCACUUAGAAUGUAGAUUUCUCGACAGAAAUUAACCACAUUUGUUUAUAAAGAAAAAUAAUAUUUCUGUAUAUUAAUAUUUUUCAUUUCAACUAAAGGUAUUUUUCAAAGCACAGUGUUCUAUGGGCAGAGAAUAUGUUAUUGAACUUAGGCAGUUAUUUGCAAACUACCGUGCCUUAGAAUCACCUGGACAGCUUAAUAAAAAGCAGAUUGCUGGGUGCUACCCUAAGAUUUUGAUUCAGUGGGUUUGGUCAGGAGCCCAUGAAUGUGCAUUUCUAACAAGUUUCCAGGUGGUGCUGCUGCUGCUGCUGAGCUGUGAAUCAUACUUAGAGACUCACUGAACUAAAGGGACUAUGAAAAUUGCUGCAAUUACCUUAGCAUGUGAAAGGAUCAAGUUUUCAGUUUUUGUAUGACUUAAGAAUUUGUUAACAACCUUUUUUCUUUAAUGAGUGCAUGUUAAACCAAAAUUAAACAGUACUUAAUUUUUAGUGAUUAUGGAAAUGGAUAUUAAAAAUAAAAUAUUGGGGGUCUGGGGAUAUAGAUCAGUUGGUAGAGUGCUUACCUACCAUGUACAAGGCCCUGGGUUCAAUCCCCAGCACCACCAAAAACAAAACAAAACACAAAAAAUAUUGGGGGUUUAAAUAGAAUUCUGAAAUUAAGCCACAUAAGUAACAAAAGUACAUUUUUAAGUUCAGAAUUAAAAUAGUCUGAUUACUAGUUAAACAAAAGAAACUUACGUGCAUUUUAUUCAUAACCAUUAUUCUCAGGGGCCUGGUUCUUGCAUUUGGAGAAAUUGAAAAGAAAUGAGAAGACUGAUGUGGAAGGAACCUUAUUUGUGUACACAAGGUCUGCUUCUCCAAAGCAUGGAUUCACCAUUAUGAAUAGGCUGAGCAUGGAAAAUAGAACAGAACCCAUUACUAAAGACCUGGAUUUCCAACUCCAGGACCCUUUCCUCCUCUACAGAAAUGCCAGAUUGUCCAUUUAUGGAAUUUGGUUUUACGAUAAGGAAGAAUGCCAAAGAAUUGCAGAGCUUAUGAAAAACCUAACUCAGUAUGAACAGUUGAAAGCCCAUCAGGAAGCUGCAGCAGGAAUUUCCCCAGUGAUGCCCAAUUCUGGAGAGGGCAAAGAAGUAGAUAUCUUACGAAUGCUUACCAAAGCCAAAGAUGAAUACACAAAGUAUAAAACCUGUUCUGAGCCAAAACAGAUAAGGAGUUCAUCUGCCAUCUAUGAUAACCCUAAUCUCAUCAAACCAAUCCCAGUAAAACCCAGUGACAACCAGCAGCAGCUCAUACCUCAGCCCAGCCAGACCUUAGACCCUGAACCCCAACACUUAUCCUUGACAGCUCUGUUUGGGAAGCAGGACAAAGCUAUCUGUCCAGAAACUGUAGCACUCCCCCAAACUCCCCAGCAACAACAGCAGCAGCAGCAGCAGCAACAGCAGCAGCAGCAGCAAGAGAAAUUUCCAGUUAGGCAGGGAGUUGUACGCUCCCUGUCCUAUGAGGAGCCCAGAAGGCAGUCACCUCUCAUGGAGAAGCAGCUUUGUCCAGCCAUUCAAAAACUCAUGAUCAGAAACACGGACCUGCACCCACUGUCAGAGCUGCCUGAACAGAGGCCCUGUGAGAAUGGAAGCUCCUAUUCUGCCAGGGAAAUUAUUCCUGGACCUCUCCAGCCAGGGUCUCCCCAUAACGUCAGGACUUCACAUGCUGGGCACAGCACUUCCAGAACGCACAACCUGUUAGAGAAGCUCCAGAGUACCCCAGGGGCAGUGAACACGUAUGACCUUAGUACACCAGGCCCUGUGAGCCCAGCUGCCCCCAACAGCAGCAGAACCUUCUCUGCUGCCACUCCUGUGACUCCAGCCAAGGAUCUGGCCCAGCCACAAAUGGUGUAUUUCAAUGGCUCCCUUCCACCUCAGAUGCUAGGACAUCAGGCUCAUGGAAAGGGACAGUCCACCCUGCCAAGACAAAUGCUCCCUGUCUCUGACAGUCAGACGAGCAGCCCUGGAGUGAUCUCCCCCAAGGAGUUACUGAGAAAGCUCCAGGUUGUACAACAGGAGCAGCAGCUACAGACCUCUCACCGUCCAGCCUUGGCAGCCAAGUUCCCUGUGGUGACCCAGAGUUCUAGGACAGGCAAACCCUUGGAGCCAUGGAUCAACAGGACAUCCAGCACAGAGAAGCAUGCUCCUCUUUUGCAGGUCAUCUCACCUCAGCGCACUCCUGCUACAGUGGCUCCUUCUCUGCUCAUGUCCCCCAUGGUGUUCACAAAAGCCUCCUCCGGCACCCCACCGAGGGAGAGGGAUAAUGGGCUCUUAUUCCUGGGAGGCCAGAAAUCGCCUGCUGCCCCUACCAGCCUCCUCCUGCCCCUGCAGAACCCGGAGCCCUCUGUGGUAGCUGGCAGCCCACUCACCAGGCUGCAGCUCCAAGAAGCACUGCUAUAUCUGGUUCAGCCUGGCAAAAGAAUCCAGAGACUUAUCAGUCUAACUGCUGCCCACUUGCCAAGGCCAGAAGUUUUCCACCACUCAUGGGAAGAUUUAUUUUGGCUUUGAAUGACGACAACUUCUUAAAUAUAAUCUAUGAAGCCUAUCUCUUCAGCAUGACACAAGCAGCCCUGAAAAAGACUAUGUGAAAGCAAAUCAUUUUAAAACUGAUUUCCAAGGUCCUUCUAGAAUUCCAGCACAAGGUUCUUUUGUGUGAAGUGGUAUAAACUAAAAUGUUUCUGCCUUUUUUAAAAAACAGGAUUCUGCUUUCUUCUCUUGAAUGAUAAAGAUGCAAAUCAGAGAAGAAAGAAAUCCCCCUAAAGAAAUCCCAGCUAUUGAAUACACCAGCUCUCUUCCAUUCUCUUGGGUGUUACAGAGAAAACCAACAGUUCCUAACCAUGAAAUCCUAUUUCCCUGAGAAAUCAGCUUGCUUCCCAGCUUUGGAACGUCAAGUCAUCUUUAAGGUUAAAUUUAUCAUUUGCAGCCAGCAGGUUGUAGCAACGCUUCGUCAUGUCAAGUUGGCUGGCUGCACAUAUUGGUGUCUCUGAUUCAAGGCAGAACAUUCUUGUAUCUGCACAGGGAGCCAGGACCAGGGUCACCCGAGAAGACCUGGGGCCAAGGCCUAGGGAUGUGAGCUUCCACAAACUCCCCAGGUAGGUGUAUGGGAAAAGGCAACCCUUCCCCAGGACACUCAUAUUACUUUCAGUAUUUUCAGAACACCUCGCUUCUGACACCAGAUGUGGGUGGUUUUCCACACCCAUCAUUUCUACUUUCGGGACACCAACAGAGAGCACGCUGCUAUUUAAUUAUGACGCCGACUAUCUGGAGUGACGCAGACCCAGUCCUACAGAGACUGCCCCACCUCAGAUGCCAAUCAUAAGCAGUGGGCCCUCAGGUUACCUACACUUCCACACUUCUGUCUGACCUGGCUACAAAUCAGAGAUUCCUAUGACCAUUUCUUUGGGUUCCAUAAUUUUCCACGACACCUUCUGGAACUCAGGAAAACACAUGUGCUAUGAGAAAGGACGUAGAUGGACACUUAACACAGAGGUACAUAGAGUGAAAUUUGGGAGGGUCCCAAACUUAGGAGCUUUUAUCUGCAUGGGAUCGGGGCCCACCACCCUCCUGGGCACAUGGAUGUAUUCACUAACCUAGAAGCUCUUCGAACCUUGUACUUAGGAAUUUUUAUGGAAACUUCAUCCCAUGGGCAUAAUGGAUCAUGAACUCAAUCUUCAGCCCCUCCCUCUUUGCUCCCUGAGGAUGGGGGAUGGGGCUGGACGUUUCAAGCUCCCACUCCUGGCUUGGUCUUCCUGUGACUUUCCAGGACCCCACUAACAGUUGCCUUAUUGCCACAGAAGAUGCUCCCAGGGAAUUCCAAGGCAUCUGUGAGAUCUGUGGCAGGACCUGAGGUCAGAGGCAACAUCAGAACAAAUGAUGCUC